CAACCUGUGAAGUCCUACGUGGCAGCCCC
rnacentral:piRNA from 1 species